AUGCAUUCCACCGAGGCGACUAGGGCACCUUUUUUAUAUGGAUAUUUCAGCCCUUUCCUUCCUUGUUUGCAUUCCAGGUUGGUUCUAAAGAAAGGGUUGGAAAAUGGAAUCAAACAAAAGGCUUGCUCCGCACACAAAGGCUACAUCUGGGCUUUCAUUGAUUUGACUUUUCCAUUCAUUUUUGAAGCCCUUCCUUCGCUCCGGGCACGCUGUUUAGAUCUAUUUCGGUUGCCAAUGAAAUGGAAUAUGGGGAACUCUCCGUCUAAGUGGUUAAUCCGACGAGUCAAUUCUCAAUGUUAUGCUGCUAUCCGUUCGACGAUCCUACUUCUGAUGUCACCCCCGCCUCUCCCUCCCAGUGGAAUAUCCCAACUAUUCUCUAUCCAAUUCCGGAAGAAUGGAUCAUGA